rnacentral:rRNA from 1 species
ACGAGGGUGACAGGUGGUGCAUGGUUGUCGUCAGCUCGUGUCGUGAGAUGUUGGGUUUAAGUCCCGCAACGAGCGCAACCCUCGACCUUAGUUGCCAGCAUUCAGUUGGGCACUCUAAGGUGACUGCCGGCUAAAAGUCGGAGGAAGUGGGAUGACGUCAAAUCAUCAUGCCCCUUAUGACCAGGGCUACACACGUACUACAAUGGCAGGUACAAAGGGCAGCCACUUAGCGAUAAGGCGCGAAUCCCGUAAAACCUGUCUCAGUCCGGAUUGGAGUCUGCAACUCGACUCCAUGAAGUUGGAAUCGCUAGUAAUCGCAGAUCAGCACGCUGCGGUGAAUACGUUCCCGGGCCUU